UCCUUCGUCGCCAUCUUUGAAAUUUGAAGAGGAGAGAGUAAAACGUUCUGGUGGGAAGAAUGCCUUUAAUACAAGAAGCAAAGAUUAUUACAAGACAUUAUUCAAAGAUAGCAAGGCUAUGGGUUCCAACCAUCGGUGCAUGGGGGACUGCUGGAGGUGCAGUUUUACUCUAUCUCACUGACUGGAAGGUCAUCAUGAAACACGUCCCUUAUGUUGGCAAGAAAUAUGAUCAUGAAUCACCACGGUAGUAGUCUAACUAUUGAGGUACCAAAUAUCUUUACUAUUGAAGAGAUGACUGUCUUUGCUGUAUUAGGAAAUUAUGUAAUUUUGACAUUGGUGUCUCUGCUGCUGAGAAGCACUUGGAUUGUCAUUUUGCCUUUUUCUGCAUUAAUUUUGCUUAAUUUAUUAGAGCUGUCAUUUUUGCUAAAAUUUACUGAAGCAGAAUGAAUGUGGAAUAAAUGCUUAAACUUUU